rnacentral:rRNA from 1 species
UACGUAGGGAGCAAGCGUUGUCCGGAUUUAUUGGGCGUAAAGAGCUCGUAGGCGGCUUAGAAAGUCAGGUGUGAAACCUCCAGGCUCAACCUGGAGACGCCACUUGAUACUUCUAUGGCUUGAGUUCAGUAGGGGUAAGCGGAAUUCCUGGUGUAGCGGUGAAAUGCGCAGAUAUCAGGAGGAACACCGAUGGCGAAGGCAGCUUACUGGGCCGAUACUGACGCUGAGGAGCGAAAGCGUGGGGAGCGAACAGG